GAAAAAGAGUGAUUUCUACUUUAAAGGCUCAUUGUGGAUACUGGGGUCAGAAUAAUUGAAGGAGAAAAAGAAAAAAGGAGAGAUCAGCUGCAAGAAUUGGCCACAGAAUUGGACUCACCACAAGCAGACAAACUACGCUGGAGGAAAGAAAAAAUGAAAAGCAAUGAUGCCUUUUAAGUAAGCAAAAUGUCACAACUUGAGGAGCAUCAUUCACAUGCCUAGAUCCCACCAGAAAAUAUCUGAAUCUUGGGACUGUGCAGGAGGCUAAGACCUAGAAAGAGCCUUUCUAAGGUGGAGAAAAAAUUUCUCCAUUGUUUCUGUGCUCA
rnacentral:lncRNA from 1 species